UUUAAAUGGCCGCAGUAUAUUAACUGUGCAAAGGUAGCAUAAUCAUUAGUCUUUUAAUUGAAGGCUGGUAUGAAUGGUUGGACGAAAUAUUAACUGUUUCAUAUAAAUUUAUAAUAAAAUUUUAUUUUUUAGUUAAAAAGCUAGAAUUUAUUUAAAAGACGAGAAGACCCUAUAAAUCUUUAUAUUUAAAUUAUUAUAGUUUUAUAGAUUAUUUUUAUUUUAAUAAUGAUAAUAUUUUAUUGGGGUGAUAUUAAAAUUUAAUAAACUUUUAAUUUUGCUAUUCAUUAAUUUAUGAUUAAUUGAUCCGUUAUUAACGAUUAAAAAAAUAAGUUACUUUAGGGAUAACAGCGUAAUUUUUUUGGAGAGUUCUUAUCGAUAAAAAAGAUUGCGACCUCGAUGUUGGAUUAAGAUAUAAUUUUAGGUGUAGCCGCUUAAAUUUUAAGUCUGUUCGACUUUUAA
rnacentral:rRNA from 1 species